UACGGAGGAUCCAAGCGUUAUCCGGAAUCAUUGGGUUUAAAGGGUCCGUAGGCGGGACAAUAAGUCAGUGGUGAAAGUCUGCAGCUCAACUGUAGAAUUGCCAUUGAUACUGUUGUUCUUGAGUGUUUAUGAAGUGGUUAGAAUAUGUAGUGUAGCGGUGAAAUGCAUAGAUAUUACAUAGAAUACCGAUUGCGAAGGCAGAUCACUAAUAAAAUACUGACGCUGAUGGACGAAAGCGUAGGUAGCGAACAGG
rnacentral:rRNA from 1 species